UACGUAGGGUGCGAGCGUUGUCCGGAAUUAUUGGGCGUAAAGAGCUCGUAGGCGGUUUGUCGCGUCUGCUGUGAAAACCCGGGCUCAACUCCGGGCUUGCAUUCGAUACGGGCAGGCUAGAGUUCGGUAGGGGAGUCUGGAAUUCCUGGUGUAGCGGUGAAAUGCGCAGAUAUCAGGAGGAACACCGGUGGCGAAGGCGGGACUCUGGGCCGAUACUGACGCUGAGGAGCGAAAGCGUGGGGGAGCAAACAGG
rnacentral:rRNA from 1 species